rnacentral:lncRNA from 1 species
UUAUUUGCAUCUGGUUCUAGCAAGGGAAUUGCUGCGAAGGCCCUCAAACAGGGGGGCCAUCCUUUCGAAUCCCUAUCUAGUUGUUUAGAGAUGUAGGCCACCGGCCUCAGCCAAGGCCCCACAGUUUGGGUUAAAAGUCCAGCUGCCAUCUUUUCUCUCUGACGCAUACAAUGGAAAAGGCUUUGUGAGAUCGGGUAGCCCCUCGGCUGGGGCUUUCAGAAGUUUUUCCUUUAAGUCAUGAAAGACUUGCUGUUGUUGGAAUCCCCAUUCCAAAAGUUCCCGGUCCCCGCCCCCAUUGUGACCUCAUACAAAGGCUUGGCUAAUACUGCAAAGUUUGGGAUUCCCAGUCUACAAAACCCCACAGCUCCUAGGAAUUCUCUCACCACCCUUGUGCCUUUAGGCUUCGGUAGAUUGCAAAUGACCUGCUUUCUUUCGGAUCCCGGGCUGCUUUCGGACACCUGUCGAAUAGUAAAUCCCAAGUAAGGUACCUGCGGUCGUCGGCAGAUCUGAAUUUUCUUCUUGGACACCUAAUACCCACAGCCCUCCAGAGACCGAGAGGUUGAUGUCACUCCCAAUAUCGGAGGAAGUAUACACCCCCGUGUGAGAUGGUCCUUAAUAAUAUUCCACGGCGGAGGGGGUGAUAUGACUACAUACAUGGCAGAAAGUGGAAACCUCCCAGGGAUAUUGUUCCCACGAUCCUGGAGGGAAGAAGAUGAUGUUACUUUCAAUAUGACAGAAGGUGGAUGAAGUGGUGGACUGCCCCUCCACACCUGUGGACACGCCCCCACUGAUAUUCCUUCUAAUUGCAGCGUGGGAGAGGAGGAUAUGACACGCGAUAUCGCAGGGAGUAGAAACACCCCUGUGAUACUGUUCUUAAUAUUCAGGGAGGAAGAGGAUGAUAUUACUCCCAAUACAGACGGGUGUACACCCUCUGUACACCGAGGGUGUACACCUGUCUGUGAAAGAAUGGACACGCCCCCACUGAUAUUGUUUUUAAUGCAGCGUGGGAGGGGAGGAUAUGACACGCGAUAUCGCAGCUGAGUGCCACGUGCUGACGUCACUAAGAUCAAUACAGCAAACUCUGAAAGAUGGACAGAGAGACAGGAGAUGGUCCUUUAUAAUGCAGUGUGAUCUGUGCUGCAAUAGAGUUUUGGAAGCUAGAAGUUCAAAACGAGGUGUUGGCAGCACCAUGCUCUCUCUGAAGAUGCUAGGAAGAAUCUGCUCCAUGCCUUUCCAUUCGCUCCUGGGGUUUCCUGCAAGCCCUGACAUUCCUUGGCUUGUAGAUGCAUCACCCCAGUUUCCGCCCCCAUCAUCACAUGGCCUCCUCUCUGUGUGUGCCUCUGCGUUCCCUCUAUUCUUCUUCUAAGGACACCGACACCAGUCAUAGUGGAUUAAGGGUCCACUCCUAACCAAUUACAUCUGCAACAACCCUAUUUCCAAAUAAAGUCACAUUCUAAGA